UAGUAUAUUUAGUCGUAACUUUUAUAGUGGUUUAACGUCUAAGACUAUUGUAUAAUUAAAGAUUUAUGUUAAAUCACCAACUAAAUGUACAAUGAUAAAGCUCCUAUGUGUAACUAUCACUCUUAUUAUUAUCGCCAGCGUGGUCGCUCGCCCGCUUACCAGAUCAGAGCAAAAGAGGAUAUACCGUAAGAUCACGGAAAGCAUGGUAAACAAAUUGAAACGCACUCUUAAAAUAAUUAAAAACUCAGGCAGGAAAUAUUCUCCAGCAGAAGUGCAAGCUAUGAUGAGUAAAACAUUGCUUGACGAGCUGGCCAAAUAUCAAGAUGACAUACAAAGAUUACCUUUGAAAGGACGAAAACUUCCUGAUUUUUCUAUUGAACCGCGGUGGGAAAAGGAAGUCCAAAGAUGUGCCAAAGAUUUGACAGGGGGUGUUAAGGUGAAGAUCCCCACAUAUAUAUUAUAACCAAAAGUGUUGAUAGUUUAGUUUGUUAAUCAGAUAUGUCUCAACAGAUAAGCUCUUUAUUGUUUACCCUUAAUCAUCAGAUUAAAUGGUUUAAGUUAUUGUUAUCCCUAA